rnacentral:ncRNA from 1 species
CGGAUGUCUGGCUAUAUAUUAAAGAUAAACAUGUUAAAUUAAUAUCUAAUAUAAAUCUAAUAAUAAACAAAGUGAAUUGAAAUAUCUUAAUAACUUUAGGAAAAAAAAUCAAACGAGAUUUUAUUAUUAGUGCAAACUAAUAUAAAAAAGCUUACAAGUAAAAUGGAAAAUAUCUGUUUGAAUAAAGGGGAACCUUCCUCUAAAGCUAAAUAUAAUAUAUAAGCGAUAGCGUAUAGUACCGUGAGGUAUAGAUAUAAAUAGUAGUUUUAUAAGCAGCUCAAA